GCGAGCGGCGGACGGGUGAGUAACACGUGGGUAACCUGCCCAAGAGACUGGGAUAACACCUGGAAACAGAUGCUAAUACCGGAUAACAACACUAGACGCAUGUCUAGAGUUUGAAAGAUGGUUCUGCUAUCACUCUUGGAUGGACCUGCGGUGCAUUAGCUAGUUGGUAAGGUAACGGCUUACCAAGGCAAUGAUGCAUAGCCGAGUUGAGAGACUGAUCGGCCACAUUGGGACUGAGACACGGCCCAAACUCCUACGGGAGGCAGCAGUAGGGAAUCUUCCACAAUGGACGAAAGUCUGAUGGAGCAACGCCGCGUGAGUGAAGAAGGGUUUCGGCUCGUAAAGCUCUGUUGGUAGUGAAGAAAGAUAGAGGUAGUAACUGGCCUUUAUUUGACGGUAAUUACUUAGAAAGUCACGGCUAACUACGUGCCAGCAGCCGCGGUAAUACGUAGGUGGCAAGCGUUGUCCGGAUUUAUUGGGCGUAAAGCGAGUGCAGGCGGUUCAAUAAGUCUGAUGUGAAAGCCUUCGGCUCAACCGGAGAAUUGCAUCAGAAACUGUUGAACUUGAGUGCAGAAGAGGAGAGUGGAACUCCAUGUGUAGCGGUGGAAUGCGUA
rnacentral:rRNA from 1 species